GUGUAUUUAAACUGCAUAUUUAAACAAGUUGAUAAAAAGAGAUUACUACUGUUAUCGUCAGUAAGGAACAUGAUGCCUGGCCAGUAUUGUCGUACUCCUCUACCACCAACGAACGAAGAAUGGGCUACAGGAAGAUUCAGCUUGACAAAGACGUCCCCGAUGAGACUACCUUAGUGGACCGGCAAGGAUGCUAAAUUCUCGGACAUAUGGAAUUUCCGGCGCCGAGUAUAAAUAAACCGAAAUAGAAAGGAAAAAUAGAAAUUACUACAUUAAUAAUAUCAUUUAUUUGGAUUUUAUUAUAUACUAAAAAAAAAAUAAAUACUAUAUUUCUAUACUGUAUGUUAAAACAGAAAAAAAGCUCCAAUAUUUAUCCCUGAAAAUGUCAAAUGACUUGUCUAUAUGAAUUUAGAAAAUACUGUAUUGUAUGUCUUUGAGAACUUAUAUAAAUUUAUAAACGAUUGUAUGUCUUUGUGAAUUUCAAGAUAUGUUAUAAUGUUUGUAUGUAAAAGAAGAAAAUAAAGUUAAAUUGUAUCGUCUUUCAAAAGCUUAAAUACAAAAUAUAUUUUGUUUUACUCAUUGGUUGGAUAAAUAUACAAAGAAGUUUUAUCUCUCCACAUACUAACUUGAUACUUAAAAGUAUACAAACCUCACAUUUAAUGUAAGAUUAUUAACUAUUGGUUCAUUGUUCGUUAGUUUAACCUACUCUUAUGUUAAUAAAUUGCUAUUUGAGACCCAUUGUACUUUUAUUCAAGUUUUUGUCACCUCAUUGUAUCAAGAAAAGUAUAGUUUUUGACUUUAAAAAUUUACCAAAUAAAGAAUUGUAAUGUUGUUAGAUAUAAAAAGCAGUUAUCGUAUGGCAAUAACGAUGUUAACCAGGUCUAAAGAUGUCUAAUGUGAUAUUAGACUUGUAUAUUACAAAUAUUGUAUGUGAAUAUAAAUGAUUAUGAUUUAACUGAGACAUUUACACCAGACUCGUAUUUUUUCAGAAUAAGAUGUUGUUCAUCGUAUCAUUGUCACUGGCAGCAGGUUUAACUUCUUUCUUGUUAACAGGUGCAAAUAUCGAUAUUCAAAGGAAAGACAAUCGGGCUGAUGAAACAUGUGAGUGUGGAAAAAGCAUAACACUGUCGUGCACUUUUAGGAAGAACACAUUUGCCAUUGAGUGGAUAUAUGCAAACGAUAUUAAACCGAUAGCAAAAUGUAUAAAACAAGUUUGCAGUUUAAAUCCAGAUUAUGUUGAACAGUACAGUAUUACGUUUGACAUGGCACAGGGCUAUUUUGACUUGACAGUACUAAAGGUAACCAUGGAGCUCAACAGAAAAAUGCUAAUUUGUUCGGAUGGGUCCAAUACUGAUUCUUAUAAAAUGAGUGUCAGAGACUACGAGCCUUACCUGACUGAUGAUAGUAAUACUAGGAGCAUAAAAGCUGCGUCUGGUUGCAUUUCACAAGACACACAAGUUUCCUUCAAAUGGAUAAAGAUUAACAUGUAAGAAAACUGUUGCAGCUGAAAUUAAGACCAGCUUACGCAACAUCCCAAAGAAUGUGGUUUUCCACUUUAAAAGAUUCUCGAAUUCUGAUCAAAGGAUGGAAGAAAGCUACCAGUUCAGGAAGUAAUUCAUCUUGAACCCUAUUAGAGGAUAAAGCAGACUUGUAUGGUGCAAUUCUUCACUAAGGGACAUGCAUCAGUAGAGGUCAUGUCCUUGCCAUUUUGAGGUACAAAAUGCGAUGAUUGAGAGUUGAUGACAUGAAGCAGAUCACAGGAAUUUGAAAGAGGAAAGCUAUGGAAGAUAUGGAGACAAGUUAUAUUAUUUUGUAUAGAACAAUGCCAUGUUUAUGUUCAACGAAUUUAGAAAUUAUUUGGCACAAGUGUAAACAAUAAUAGGAAUACCACUCCUGAAACCCUAACUUAAAGGUCAAGGUCACACUUUCAGCUCAAAGCCUAACUUGGUCUGGUACAGGCUAUAUUUAGUGUCUUGCCACUUUUCAUUGAUCAAGUGAUUUUGAAAUGGGGUGACACAAAUGUUUAUGGCAGAACUGUUAACAAAAAAAGAUGACAUAUCGUUUGAAAAACCCAGAACUCUUCCUUCAAAGUCAAAACUGCAAUUGCAAAACUGCAAACUGCAUCUUAUCUGAUAAUUAUUUCUGAGAAGAAAUACCUCUGCAUAUGUUACAUUGAUCGAAUCAUUGAACAUUUAGAUUUUUUAUUGUGAAUAAAAAUGUGUAUAGUUUAUAUGUUUUUGUCGUUAUUCUUUUUAACCUAACAUAUUCAUUUAUUAUCCAGCAAACGGGAAUUCUGUGUAAUAUCAGAACCAGAAAAGUAACAUCUAAAUUUGUAACAAUGCUUCCAUUAUCUUUCGGACAUUUGACCAGAAAGUGUAUUUUGUUAUGUGCCGCAAUUUUGCAAAACUUGUGAUGAAUUCUCUCAUUAAUUACUCUAAUCAAAGUAUUUGGUGACUAUAGUAAUUACAUUUGAAGAGCUAUAACAUGUUAUGUCCUUAUAUCGUAUGUAUCCAGAUUUAUAAGAACACAAUAAUAGUUGCCACUUUUAUUCCAUGUCAUAGGUAUCACCGGAAGUACAUGUAUAUAUCAUAUUGCAUCUCUUUAUAACCAGAUUGCAGCAAUACAUAUUUAAGUUAUAAUAUAUCAAGUACUGUUAUCUAUUUUACUACAAAGAUUCUCGUGGUACCUGUUUCAGAUUGCUUUACUUCAACCAGUCUUUCGUUUUUGUCAUGUAUGAAAUUUUCGAGCGUAUGAACCAUCUGAGGUUCUGCUUAUGCGCAAAGUUAUCACUGGAAAAAGUAGAAAGGAGCAUCUGAGGCCAUCUUCCAAAAGUAACACUGUAAAAGUGCUAUAUGAUCACAACACAGUCUAACAAUUGUCCUAAAUUAUACUUUAUUUUGAGAAGUACAUAUUCCUUGUUUACACAAUAAUGAAUCUGUAAAUAUAUAUUAAAUAUGGUACUUUGCAAUAUCCCCUGUUUAUAUGAAUCUCUGUGAUCAUACUUAGGUGUGUUACUUUACUGGAUCUGCAACAUCUUUAUAAGGAUA